UACGUAGGGUGCAAGCGUUAAUCGGAAUUACUGGGCGUAAAGCGUGCGCAGGCGGUUAUAUAAGACAGAUGUGAAAUCCCCGGGCUCAACCUGGGAACUGCAUUUGUGACUGUAUAGCUAGAGUACGGUAGAGGGGGAUGGAAUUCCGCGUGUAGCAGUGAAAUGCGUAGAUAUGCGGAGGAACACCGAUGGCGAAGGCAAUCCCCUGGACCUGUACUGACGCUCAUGCACGAAGGCGUGGGGAGCAAACAGG
rnacentral:rRNA from 1 species